CUUUGUAAUCCUCCAAAUCAUAUACUUUGACACUCGAUAUAUAUCAAUAAAGGCAUUGUAUUUCAUCAUUUGCUGCUUAUCUGUUUUAUUAUUGGAUGAUGAACCCUAUAAAUUAGGAUAUUGGUUUUAGGGUUAUGAUGAGAUCAUACCAGUGAGACCUAAAAUCCUAAAAUCCUAAUUUAGAAUAUUUCCAGUCAAAUUGGUAUAUUGAGUCGGGGAUCAAUUACUAGAAAGACUGGCACAUCUUAUGUAUGCUCAAUGUAGAGGGUGAUUGAUCUCACAAUCACUUGUGUGAGACACUAAUACAAAGAUGUGGAUGCUCAUUAGAGGAAUGAGUUUACUGAAAUGACCAGCCAUGAGAACAUCUUAUGGAUUCUUACUUAAUUGUCAAAAGAUGGUUCUCAUAGUGGGAGUUGUGCAAGUGAUCUUUAGACCUGAGAUCACCAUGGCACCUUGUGCACUUGAACCUAUAUUUUGGUUUACCCUCAUUCACGACAUUGCGUUGUGUACGGGGUAUUCUGGAUAUGGUGGAUUUUGUACGAAGGUUGUGAGUAGGUCAACAAAGAAUCAGUCACUCCUAGUAAGAGAAGGUAACAUCCUACUUACUCAAAUCUUAUGAUGAUUCAAGAAGCCUUUGAUCAAAGCAAAAUAAAAAUUAGAAAGAGUUUCUAAUGUUUCAUUGUUUGAAUUAUCAUAUAAAAGAUUGAGAGAGACAUGAAUAAGUGAUUGAGUUUGAUAUUGAUCCAUACUCAUGCACUUAUUCAGGAUGUAGUAUGACUGAGGGAUUGAAUUGCACGGUAACUUGCCACUGAAGGAUAUGUUUGGAUUUGUCCAAUACAUUCCUCAUCUUCCAGAUAGACAUGAUACAUUGCUAGACGUCAAUCUUGUCUUGUGGGUUGAUUAGAUCAAAGAGUUUGAUUAGAUCAAAGCAUCAGAAAGGUUCUGAUUGCUAAGUCAGGUUUAGCACUAAAUUGAACCUAAAUUGGAUUAGAGGUAUUCUAAUCAAGUUAGGUCAACUUGUACCUACACCUACUGCUGGCUAAGAUAAGGAACCUAAUGGAUCACACGCAAGAAAAUUGAUCAAGGGUCUAAUUGGAUUAGAUCAUGUUUGCAAGAUGAACAUGCUAGCACGUGUUGCAAUCCCUAGCUCCUGAUUCAAAUUAAAUUCGAAUCUGAUUCUUAGAUUAGGUUGAUCUAAUAUGAUUAGAUCAUGACCUAAUAUGGGUUAGCCCAGAGUUGGAACCCAUUUGGCUUUAAUUAGACAUGAUUUGAUUAGGUUUAAUAUUUCCUUUAAGUUGGUUAAACCCAAUUGGAUUGGGUUUGAUAGGGCCUUCACUUCUGGACCAUUGGAUCGCUCCCUGGAUGAAGGAUCUGGUCCAUUGAUCAGCACCUGAAUCUGAAUCACUGGAUGGCUCUCUGGAUGAAAGAUCUGGACCAUUGGUCAGCACUUGAAUCUGGACCACUAGAUGGCUCUCUGGAUGAAAGAUCUGGACUGUUGCUCAGCGUCUAAAUCUGGUCCAUCGGUGAUGGCAUCUUGCUUCUGGACCAUUGGAUGGCAUCCUGGAUGAUGAUGCUUUAAUCUGGACCAUUGGCUUUGGUUCACUGCAUUUGGGCCCUUGGAUCAUUAGGAUUUAAGAGGGAGACGUGAGAAAGAAGUUGAUACACCCUUCUCCUUAACACCCAUACAUGACGAGAUGUCUCUCUUGGCACAUGCCUCAUCAUGAUAAGGUGUGUGGAUGGGAUGCAUCCCUUUAUGAUGCAUCCCUCCAUCUCUUAUAAAUAAGGAGGCGCCCUGGGAUUCUAAAGAUCAUCCAAGAAAAAGCCUCUUCUUCUCUCUUCCUUAUCCCUUCUUUUUUACAAGCCUCUCUCUUUUGUCCUAACCCAAGACAAGAAGGUCUUCUUUAGGACAAAAAGGCUAGUGAAUGUUUUAGAGGUAGAAAGGAAGAAGGAAGUGAAGGAAAAUCAGCCCAUUAAAUCCUUUGGAAGGCUUGAACAACUAUAAUCAAGUUUUGGAGGAGCUAGAGUCUUGAACCCAUUCCUGUGUGGAUCAACAUUGGAGGGUGAACAUUUGGGCACCUUAGGACAUCUUCAGACAUAUUGGAUAUAGCAUGAUAAGUAUUCUUUUAUACCAAGAUUAUAUUUUCUACAUUAUUUGGUUAUACUAUUAAGAUGAUCUUGGCUUAUUAGGGUUUCAUAUAAUGGGUUUUAUAAGAAAAUUUUAUAAUCCCGUAUCUUCUGAUGCGCCCUAGGGCACUGGGAAACCUAAUACCGGAUAGGUCGAAUAUAUGCGAAGCAAAUAUUCUAGAAUCCUGGACUAUGGUUAUUGUAUAAUUCAAUCCCUUUGACUCCUAAUGCCAGGAUGACUUAGAGCUCACUGUCAACCCUAUAAUUAGUAGAUCCAUUAUGUGAUUAACUUUAGAUAUCCCGUGACUCCUCACUGGGAUUACCCUGGUCAAGGUUUUGCUAAAUUAAUCACAAGAUAUUAUCUCUUAUUUGCAGAAGGGGUCAAUUCCAUCUCGACUUACAACUGACUACAUAAGUACUUGGCUGCACCCAGUGACCUUCCGUCACUGAAUUAGAAAUUCAGGUAGUCCGAUACCAAAGUACAAUGAGUUGCUUGCUAGUCACAGGUUGCGGUCUCAGGUCAGAGGGCCAAACUUAUACCCAUAUCCACUCGGAAUAUCUCUUGAUAGUAGAGCGUUCCGAAAUUGGUCAUAUUCAGUGAAAUGUACUCCUACACUUCACCUAUGUGGAUAUCAGUGUCUCCACACUCCUUGGUUAAGAGGACAACCUGUAUAUGUUACACAACGAUCUAAUCUCGAUAAUGCUGUCGUCCUGGUAACAGCAUAUCAUUUGAUUGCAAACAGUUUUAAGGAUAUGAAGAUAAAUCCUCCUUUAUCAUAAAAUAAAUCCUAAGGACUUCAUCAUAUAAGAGUUCAGUUGAAGAUGUACAAUGAUUAAUAAUGCCAAAUAAUACUUUAUUAAUUUGUCAAUUCAUUUACAAAAUUCAGUCAUCAACAUGCUGACGAUUGACAUUUAGGAUACAAUUCCCAACAAGAAUGGCAUAUUGGUACAACCUCGAGCAGUCUCCACAAAGCACGAAUCGACUCUCUCAGAUAGACAGAAACAUGUAUUUCGGAUUGCAAAGCGCGAGUCGACUCAAGUCGAGCGCGAGCUGUCUCCCAUCUUUCGGAUGAAGCGCGAGACGACUCCCAACAACUAUGAGACGUCUCUAUCAGACAGACAGAAACAUGUAAUUCAGGUCGCAAAGCGCGAGUCAUCUCCUAUCUAUCGGACGAAGCGCGAGUCGCCUCCUAACUACUACGAGACAUCUCUCUCAGACAAAGGCAGAGAACUUUUUUUUGGCGGACCAAGACGCGAGACGACUCCGGAACCGCGCGAGCUGACUCCAACAAAAAUUGAUCGAUAACCUGUCAGCGAGAUUUCGAGCCAGAGCCGACUCCAGAAUUAUGCGAGACGUCUCCCACUUUAGUAGAGCCUGUUGGGAAUUGUAUCCUAAAUGUCAAUCGUCAGCAUGUUGAUGAUUAAAUUUUGUAAAUGAAUUGAGAAAUCAAUAAAGUAUUUUUUGGCAUUAUUCAUCAUUUUACAUCUUUAAAUGGACUCUUAUAUGAUGAAGUCCUUAGGACUUAUUAAUGAUAAAGGAGGAUUUAUCUUCGAGUCCUUAAACUAGUUUGCGACCAAAUGAUAUGUUGUUACAAGGAUGACAACAUUAUCGAGAUUAGGUCGUUGUGUGACAUAUACGUUGAUUGUCCUCCUAACCAAGGAGUGUGGAGACACUGGUAUGCCACACAGAUUAAGUGUAGGAGUACAUUUCACUGAACGUGACCAAUUCCGGAAUGCUCUACUGUCAAGAGAUGUUCCGAGUGGAUAUGGGUAUAAGUUUGGCCCUCUGACCUGAGACCGCAACAUGUGACUAGCAAGCAACUCAUUGUACUUUGGUACCGGACUACCUGAAUUUCUAAUUUAGUGACGGAAGGUCACUGGGUGCAGUCAAGUACUUGCGUAGUCAGUUGUGAGUCGAGAUGGAAUUGACCCCUCUGAAAACAGGAGAUAAUGUCUUGUGAUUAAUUUAGCAAAACCUUGGCCAGGGUAAUCCCAGUGAGGAGUCACAGGAUAUCUAAAGUUAAUCACAUAAUGGACGUACUAAUUAUAGGAUUGACAGUGAGCUCUAAGUCAACCUGGCAUUAGGAGUCAAAGGGAUUGAAUUAUACAGUAACCAUAGUUUAGGAUUCCAGAAUAUUUGCUUCGCAUAUAUUCGGCCUAUCCGGACGUCGGGUACCAUUGCUAGAUGGUCACAUCGAUUAGUGUAAGAAGUCGUUCCUAAACUACCGGCUUAGGUUCGAACCUAUGAGGUCACACGCAUAGAAGAUUCCUGAUUGAUCAAGAAGGCUGAUGAAUGAUUAAGAAUCAUUCAAGGGUAAUUUGGUCAAUUCAAUUGGCAAAUUAUCUUAUAAAA
rnacentral:lncRNA from 1 species